AAGAGUUAUUACAACUCCCAAACCCAUGUGAACCUACCUUUGUUGCCUCGGCAGGUCUGCAGCUUACCCUGUGAGACCCUACCCUGUAGGGACCUUACCUAGUAGUUGCGGGUAAAACCUGCCGGUGGUCUACUAAACUCUGUUUACCAUGUUAUUCUGAAUAAUUAUAACUAAAUAAGUUA
rnacentral:misc_RNA from 1 species